rnacentral:misc_RNA from 1 species
UCGAAUUACCGGUGAGGGUUGUAGCUGGCCUUUCGGGGCACGUGCACACCCGAGCCCUUAAUCCACACACACCUGUGAACUUAAUGUAAGGCGCUCCCUGUAACGGGGGGGGUCCUUACGUCUCAUUCAUCAACCCAAUUGUAUGUCACAUAGAAUGUAAAUCAUAUCCUCGCCUUAAAAAGCGUUGAUAAACUUAUA